CACGUAGGGGGCAAGCGUUGUCCGGAUUUAUUGGGCGUAAAGAGCUCGUAGGCGGCUUUGUCAGUCGGGUGUGAAACCUCCAGGCUCAACCUGGAGCCGCCACCCGAUACUGCAAUGGCUAGAGUCCGGUAGGGGAGCAUGGAACUCCUGGUGUAGCGGUGAAAUGCGCAGAUAUCAGGAAGAACACCAGUGGCGAAGGCGGUGCUCUGGGCCGGAACUGACGCUGAGGAGCGAAAGCGUGGGGGAGCAAACAGG
rnacentral:rRNA from 1 species